UACGUAGGUGGCAAGCGUUGUCCGGAUUUACUGGGCGUAAAGGGUGCGUAGGCGGUCGGGUAAGUCUGAUGUGAAAUCUCCAAGCUCAACUUGGAAAUGGCAUCGGAUACUAUUCGGCUCGAGGAAUGGAGGGGAGACUGGAAUACUUGGUGUAGCAGUGAAAUGCGUAGAUAUCAAGUGGAACACCAGUGGCGAAGGCGAGUCUCUGGAUAUUUCCUGACGCUGAGGCACGAAAGCCAAAGGAGCAAACGGG
rnacentral:rRNA from 1 species